rnacentral:rRNA from 1 species
UACGAAGGGGGCUAGCGUUGCUCGGAAUCACUGGGCGUAAAGCGCACGUAGGCGGAUUGUUAAGUCAGGGGUGAAAUCCUGGAGCUCAACUCCAGAACUGCCUUUGAUACUGGCGAUCUUGAGUCCGGGAGAGGUGAGUGGAACUGCGAGUGUAGAGGUGAAAUUCGUAGAUAUUCGCAAGAACACCGGUGGCGAAGGCGGCUCACUGGCUCGUUUCUGACGCUCAGGCGCGACAGCGUGGGGAUCAAACAGG